rnacentral:rRNA from 1 species
CAAUAGCGUAUAUUAAAGUUGUUGCAGUUAAAAAGCUCGUAGUUGGAUUUCUGGUUGAAGCGACCGGUCGGGCGUUGAUUCGUCUGCACUUGAGUCGGUUUUGGCCAUCCUCUAGGAAAGUGCGUCUGGUAUUAAGUUAUCGGGCGUAUGAUCCUGGUCUUUUACUGUGAAAAAAUUAGAGUGUUUAAAGCAGGCCUUCGCCUUGAAUACAUUAGCAUGGAAUAAUAAGAUAGGACUUUGGUCUAUUUUGUUGGUUUGCAGACCGAAGUAAUGAUUAAUAGGGAUAGUUGGGGGUAUUUAUAUUCCGAUGUCAGAGGUGAAAUUCUUAGAUUUUCGGAAGAUAAACUUAUGCGAAAGCAUUUACCAAGGAUGUUUUCAUUAA